UAGGAUAUGAGGGAGAAAAAGAGGAUUGUAUUUUCAAACUGUCAUUUAGAUAUGAGUUUUAGAAUUGUUAAUACUGUAAAAUAAAUGAACAGGGGAAAUUGGCAUAUAUACAGUUCAAGGAAGAAUUUGGUUAAAUGAUCACCUGUCAUGCUUUAGAGAAUUUUUGAAACUUAGACUGGGAAUUUGAGACCUAAUUUUUCUCAAUCAUACCUCAGGAUCCUUAUUAAGGUUUUUCCUGACUGCACUGCACAAAGAUCAUAAUCAUACCUUUGUACUUUUGGUUGUAGGGGAAACAAUUAAUACAGUUUUGGAAGGGUAGUGGGUAAAUAUGUUUCAAGGGCUACUAAAAUCUUCAAAGUCUCAUUGCAUGAUCUAACUUGUAAGAAUGGAGCAAAAGAUUACAGUGAGAGGGAAAAGAACAUGUAACAUAAGUGUUAUGUUUUCCAUAUUAAAGUAUUUUCAUUCAAAUUAAUUGAAAUUGAGAAUAUUAUGACAUAUGAAAACAUGACAUAUGAAGCCACUAAAAUUUUUCACAUGCUACUUAAAACUAUAUACAUAUCUCUUUUUUAAGAUGAAAGCAAGACAAAAUAUGUAAAUAUAUAAGGAAGCCAUCUCAGUGGCUAAAGAGUUGUUUCCUGAAGGUGAUGUGCAGGAGGACAUAGUGAUUUAGGGUAUUUUUGACUAGGAGGAUAACUUUUCCCCAAACCAAAUAUUCAUGCAUGUCCAAAUAGAGGUAUAGUUAAAAGGGUGUGAUAUAAAGUGGGUAUGUUAGGGCAUUUCCUUUGAGAAAAAUAAACUACUGCUGAGAGACAGUUGGUUUAGGUAAACUUAAUAUGAGACUGCAGAAUUCUGGGGAGUAACUGACGAGGUAAAGAAAGCUCCAGACCUGGGCAACAUUCCUACCCCAACAGUCAGCUAGAGCAAAGGAGUACCCAUGAUGUCUUAGAGGUUUACAAGUGGAUUGUACUCAGUCACAUCUGAGCACCAUGGACAGACCACGCACCUGCAGGAUCAGUUCGCCCUGUCUUAGAAAACCAACUGCAAUGAAAUACUUUUGAAUUGACAAGCAUCUGGAAAUUGAGACUAUCAGAGAAGCUGCUUGCUGGUGCAGAGAGGAGACCAGUUAUGCCUGAGGAAACAGAUCCUGCAAAGAACCAAAUGACUCAUCUCUAGGAGCCUCAGGCUCACCACAGUUUUCAUGAGGUAAUUAUGGCAUAAAUUUUCUGUCUACCUGACCAAUGGCUUCUGCCUUUUAUGUUGGUUUCUUUCUCACCUGGAAUGAUUCAGGAAGUGGAGGGUAGAAUGAGAAAUCAUCUAACCCUGAAGAAGGAAGGAAUGCAGCCCAGAAAGUUAUUGCCAAACAGGAAAAUCAGAUUCCCUUCAACUUUUAAAAGACUGGACUAAAGCAAACAUGGAUAUCAGUAGAAGUCCUCUUUAGUGGUAACCAUUAUGAUGAAACCUGAAAUUAUGCAUUGUGGAAAAUAAAUUAUAGAUAAGUAGGUGGAUAGAUAGAUUUCUUCUGGUUUUAUGUCAUAUUAAGAGCAAGAGGCCAUUUUCUCAAAGGGAACAAAAAUGUCUUAAGACACUCUGCUGGGUGAAGGGUGUGAGGAAUAGGAUAAGCCACACUGACUGGGGCAGUGAAUGAAGCUUUGGGAGCCAGAGGUUUUAGCUGAAAGCAGAAAAGACUGAGAGGUUAACUGUCAGAGGCAGGAAUAACUGCCAGAUGGUACUUGAGAGUAUUGGGAGGGGCACAGAAUAGAGCCCGCGUAAGAGUUCCACAGGCACUGGCUGCUCUCAGGGAGAAACCCUUCUGUUUUCAACCUAGUCUGAAGCAUGUCUGGUCAAUAAGGCUCUGUGCUCUGCUGGUGAGUCCCCUAGCAGUAGUGUCUGGGAAUAAAGAAGGUUAGAAGAAAAGAAGGAAACAUUUCUCUUCCGUGCCACCUACCAGGCUUUCACCAGAAAUUAAGUCUACACAUGGAAGUCUCCAUCAUGGUGCCUAAAAAAGAAAAAGAAAAGAAAGUGAAGUCGCUCAGUUUUGUCUCAAGAUUGUAUAAAUAUUCAGCAUCUGUGCUGUGUAUGGGGGGGGCAGGGGGCGGUGUACAGACAUAAAGAUUCACUUGUUUUCUGCUUUUUUCUUCUUAGCUAACCUGACCACAAGAUGACACCCAUGUUAUCUGCUGGAGAUAGCCUGAUCAAAAACACUACUGUUGUGGAGAUGAUUCUUCUUAUCUCCUGUAAUCCCUUACCUUUCCUCUGUCCAACCAUUAAAGGGAGCAGUUGCCUAAAGAUGUAUGAUAUGCAAGUCCAGAUGCUAAAGAAUACACAGAUGAGUUAGAGGCAGGAAGAAUUCUUGGUGUUCUGGGGGACACUUGCCUGCCCCCUGCUUACCUGUGGGCACUGUCCAUCAUCAACCCCAACGUGAUACCCGUGAUACCCAUGUGGAAAAGGAUGACAUCGAGCAAAGAGCAUAGGUGGAAACUUGUUCUCCCCACAACACAUCCUCAGCUGCUUUUGACACCAAAGCUUAAAGGGAGAAAGAAGACUUGCUUCCAAUGGCUGGCACCACUCUCAGAAUCCACCUGUCAGAUUCAGACAGAGGUGUAGGGGAAGGAGGAAGGCAGGUGGCUUUCUAGGGGAAACAUGAUGAUACAGGCAUAGGAAAUUAAAUGGUAGUGAAUGAGUAAUGUGAAGCCUCGAAGAAGCAGCUGUAGAGAAGCCAAGAGAAGCCCAGGUGCUAAACCAGUGCCUGGGAGACGCCCACCUUGCUGGACAAUUAGGUCAAGAAUGGCAAUCUGACCACUCAACCUAAGAUCCUCAUCUCUAAAGAGGCUACCCUGCCUUAGUCCAACUGAGGUUACCAUCUUGAACUCAUAAAGGUUCAGAAGAGAACGCAAGCCCAGUGUUCAGGCCAAGAGCUUUGGAAUCAGUCACACUUGAAUAAAAAUUCAAAUGCUUUCACGAGA